UCCCGAGGGGGCAAGCGUUGUUCGGAAUUACUGGGCGUAAAGGGCGCGUAGGCGGCCUGUUAAGUCAGACGUGAAAUCCCUCGGCUCAACCGGGGAACUGCGUCUGAUACUGGCGGGCUUGAAUUCGGGAGAGGGAUGUGGAAUUCCAGGUGUAGCGGUGAAAUGCGUAGAUAUCUGGAGGAACACCGGUGGCGAAGGCGGCAUCCUGGACCGACAUUGACGCUGAGGCGCGAAAGCCAGGGGAGCAAACGGG
rnacentral:rRNA from 1 species